rnacentral:sRNA from 1 species
AGAGCACGCCCUUCGGGGCGUUUCCUCCCUAGACUUCGGGCCGUUCGGAUCUUCCGCGCGGCUCUUUUUUUGUCCGCG